CACGCUGUAAACGAUGAUAACUGGGUUUUUAGAAUUUACUUUUAAGAGCCUGAGGGAAACCAUUAAGUUAUCCACCUGGGGAGUACGUUCGCAAGUAUGAAACUCAAAGGAAUUGACGGGGGCCCGCACAAGCGGAGGAACAUGUGGUUUAAUUCGAUGAUACGCGAGGAACCUUACCCGGGUUUAAAUGUAGAUUGCAUAGAGUAGAGAUAUUCUUUUCCUUCACGGGACCAUCUACAAGGUGC
rnacentral:rRNA from 1 species